GAAAUUUGUGCUAAUACCGCAUAAUGCAAUUUGAGUCGCAUGGCUCUGACUGCCAAAGAUUUAUCGCUCUAAGAUGGCCUCGCGUCUGAUUAGCUAGUUGGUGGGGUAACGGCCCACCAAGGCGACGAUCAGUAGCCGGACUGAGAGGUUGACCGGCCACAUUGGGACUGAGAUACGGCCCAGACUCCUACGGGAGGCAGCAGUGGGGAAUAUUGGGCAAUGGGCGCAAGCCUGACCCAGCAACGCCGCGUGAAGGAAGAAGGCUUUCGGGUUGUAAACUUCUUUUGUCAGGGAAGAGUAGAAGACUGUACCUGACGAAUAAGCCACGGCUAACUACGUG
rnacentral:rRNA from 1 species